rnacentral:rRNA from 1 species
UGGGGAAUAUUGCGCAAUGGGCGAAAGCCUGACGCAGCAACGCCGCGUGAGUGAAGAAGGCCUUCGGGUUGUAAAGCUCUUUCGGUUGGGAAGAAGGGUGUGCGCCCUAAUAAUGCGUACAUUUGAUGGUACCAAAAGAAGAAGCACCGGCUAACUUCGUGCCAGCAGCCGCGGUAAUACGAAGGGUGCAAGCGUUGUUCGGAAUGACUGGGCGUAAAGGGUUCGUAGGCGGGAAGACAAGUUCAGUGUGAAAUCCCCAGGCUUAACCUGGGACGUGCAUUGAAAACUGUUUUUCUUGAGUAUUGGAGAGGGUGGUGGAAUUGCUGGUGUAGGAGUGACAUCCGUAGAGAUCAGCAGGAACACCGGAGGCGAAGGCGACCACCUGGCCACAUACUGACGCUGAGGAACGAAAGCGUGGGGAGCAAACAGG